rnacentral:rRNA from 1 species
ACUGGCAGCUCAAGUGGUGGCCAUUAUUAUUGGGCCUAAAGCGUUCGUAGCCGGUUUGAUAAGUCUCUGGUGAAAUCCCGCAGCUUAACUGUGGGACUUGCUGGAGAUACUAUCAGACUUGAGGCCGGGAGAGGUUAGGGGUACUCCCAGGGUAGGGGUGAAAUCCUAUAAGCCUGGGAGGAAUACCUGUGGCGAAGGCGCCUAACUGGAACGAACCUGACGGUGAGUAACGAAAGCCAGGGUCGCGAACCG